AGAGAUAGGAGGUUCUCUCCCAAGGGACUCAAGGAGCGGCUGAAGCUGAGCUCCUGGUGACAGGUCCUGGCCAGGACUUUCCCAUGACAUCAGCUUGCUUACCUCACAGAUGGCCCAGAGAGACAAAGGUGAGUGGCACGGAAGAAAGGUCUGGGAGAGCCACAGGUGCAGAGGCAGGGAGUGUGUCCUUGUGGAGUGAAGCUUGUCCUCCCUUGCUGGGAGCUCCUUCUGUAUCUGGCCCCAUAUUGGAGCCACAGAGAAUGGUUGAGAGUCAGGGCUCCGGGCUUGGAUGUUACCUGCUAUUAACCCUGGUCUGGAAGCAAAUGAAGCUCCUUCUGACGCAUGGCCAGAUCACUAGGAGCCUAAUACUACGUCACAGAGCCCACGUUAUCCCCUCACAGCAUCCCUUCAUGUGGGCAUUUUGUCCUCUCACAUCAUCACAAGAAGAAGGGACAAAGAUGUGA
rnacentral:lncRNA from 1 species